CAAACAUUGUGUUUCCAUCAUUCACCAGAUUUAAAGCAAUGUUCUUGUACAAGAUCAUAGUUCCCUAAAAUACUAGAAGCCGAUUUUUAGGGGUUAUGGAAGUCCUAUGAUUUGAAGCGAUUAGACAUUUUUUCAUGAAACAGAGGCAAAUUUGGUAAGGGAAGCAUUUGAGGUUUUUAAUCCCUUACAUAUUCAGGAAUAUCCACGUUCAGAGAAAAUGCAAGAUUG